GGUUGUGGCUUAGAGGUAGAGCGCUUGCCUAGUAUGCGUGAGGCACUUGGUUCAAUCCUUAGAACCA
rnacentral:tRNA from 1 species